rnacentral:rRNA from 1 species
UACGUAGGGUGCAAGCGUUGUCCGGAAUUAUUGGGCGUAAAGAGCUCGUAGGCGGUUUGUCGCGUCUGCUGUGAAAACCCGAGGCUCAACCUCGGGCCUGCAGUGGGUACGGGCAGACUAGAGUGCGGUAGGGGAGAUUGGAAUUCCUGGUGUAGCGGUGGAAUGCGCAGAUAUCAGGAGGAACACCAAUGGCGAAGGCAGAUCUCUGGGCCGAUACUGACGCUGAGGAGCGAAAGCGUGGGGGAGCGAACAGG